CGAUCCCUUGUGAAGAGUCGA
rnacentral:snRNA from 1 species